UUAUGGUGGAGUUUGGCAAGUGUCUCGGUGUGUUGGGUGGCAGCCCGUGUGCCUUGUCUAGCCGGAUAGUGAACGUUUACUCCGUCGCUGCCAUCGCCAACCCACAGUAGAAGGGAGCGAGCCGAGAAGUGCAGGUGGUAGCAGGUGAAGCCACACGUUCUUGAGCCCACACCAGAAGCAGCUCUACUGUACCUGAUUAGGAAGAGUCACAAACCAACCCAGCAGGAGGGCCUGCAGGGUAUUAAGUUGUGUAAUACACAUACCUAAGAAGAAAGAUGUUGGGUGCCCACCUCUCCCGGCUGCGGCUUGUAGCCCGGCCACACCAGACCCUUACCUCAAUCCUGCGUCUGGCCCAUUCUUCCUCAAGUAUUGAAUACCAGCCAAUCAAAUCUGUCCUUGUAGCUAAUAGAGGUGAAAUUGCCAUUAGAGUAUUCCGAGCAUGUACAGAGCUGGGGAUACGCUCAGUUGCCGUGUACAGUGAACAAGACAAGAUGCACAUGCAUAGGCAGAAGGCCGAUGAGUCGUACAUCAUAGGACAGGGACUCUCUCCAGUUGACGCCUACCUUUGUAUACCAGAAAUUGUGCGCGUAGCAAAGGAAAAUGAUGUUGAUGCCAUCCAUCCUGGUUAUGGGUUCCUCUCUGAACGUUCAGACUUUGCCCAAGCUUGUAUUGAUAACAACUUGCGUUUCAUUGGACCCUCACCUCGAGUUGUGCAGCGGAUGGGAGACAAGGUGGCUGCCCGUCAGACUGCCAUUAAUGCUGGUGUACAAGUGGUUCCAGGUACAGACCAUCCCAUAACCUCAGCAGAUGAGGCAUAUGAGUUUUGUGUGAAGUAUGGUCUGCCAGUCAUGCUUAAAGCAGCUUAUGGAGGCGGUGGCAGAGGCAUGCGAGUGGUGCGGGAACUAAGUGAGGUAAAGGAAAGCUUCCGUCGUGCAUCUUCAGAGGCUGAGGCAGCUUUUGGGAAUGGUGCCAUGUUUAUUGAAAAGUUCAUUGAAAAACCAAGGCACAUUGAGCUGCAGGUGCUGGGAGAUAAGGCUGGCAAUGUGGUGCACCUGUACGAACGAGAUUGUUCUGUGCAGAGGCGGCAUCAGAAGCUUGUUGAAGUGGCCCCAGCUCCCAACUUGGAUAAAAAGGUGCGGGAAGCUAUGGCAGCUGAUGCAGUGAAGCUGUGUAAAAGUGUUGGCUAUGAGAAUGCUGGCACUGUUGAGUUCCUGCUGGAUAACCAAGGGAAUUACUACUUCAUAGAGGUCAAUGCUCGCCUGCAAGUGGAACACACAGUCACAGAAGAGAUCACUGGGAUUGACUUGGUCCAGUCUCAAAUCCGUAUUGCUGAGGGAAUGACUUUGCCUGAGCUUGGAAUGACGCAGGAUAAAAUUACUGCUCAGGGUUGUGCUAUUCAGUGCAGAGUCACAACAGAGGAUCCUGCUAAAAGCUUUCAACCAGAUACUGGAAGACUAGAGGUGUUCCGUAGUGGUGAGGGCAUGGGAAUCCGGCUUGAUGGUGCUUCUGCAUAUGCUGGUGCCAUCAUAUCCCCAUACUAUGACUCUUUACUCAUGAAAGUCAUAUCAAGGGCAUCAGACCUACAUGCAUCAGCUGCCAAGAUGAAUCGUUCCCUGCGGGAGUUCAGGAUACGUGGUGUAAAGACAAACAUUCCCUUCCUCCUCAAUGUGCUAGAAAACCAGAAGUUCCUCAAUGGCACAAUUGAUACCACAUUCAUUGAUGAAAAUCCUCAGCUGUUCCAGUUCCAGCCUUCACAGAACCGUGCCCAAAAACUGCUCAACUAUUUGGGAAAUGUACUGGUAAAUGGCCCUCUUACUCCCUUGGCCACAGGACUCAAACCUGCAGAAGUCCAUCCUGUAGUUCCAGAAACUCCAGCAGCUACUGAUCCUCCUCGAGGCUUUCGGGAUGUAUUGGUGGCAGAGGGGCCAGAAGGUUUUGCUAAAGCUGUUCGGAAUCACAAGGGACUCCUUCUAAUGGACACAACAUUCAGGGAUGCCCAUCAGUCUCUCCUGGCAACAAGGGUCCGCACUCAUGACCUCCUAAAGAUUUCACCAUAUGUUGCACACAACUUCAAUAGACUGUACUCACUGGAGAACUGGGGUGGUGCCACCUUUGAUGUAGCUCUCAGGUUCCUUCACGAGUGUCCAUGGGAGCGGCUGGAGGCCAUGCGGAAACGGAUCCCCAACAUUCCAUUCCAGAUGCUUCUCAGAGGGGCUAAUGGUGUUGGGUAUACAAGUUACCCUGAUAAUGCUGUGUACAAAUUCUGUGAGCUGUCAGUGAAAACAGGAAUGGAUAUCUUCCGAGUAUUUGACUCCCUCAACUAUUUGCCAAACUUGCUGCUGGGUGUUGAGGCAGUGGGGAAUGCUGGUGGUGUUGUGGAAGCUGCCAUUUCAUACUCUGGUGACAUCAGUGACCAAAGCAGGACAAAAUACACCCUUCAAUACUACAUGAACUUGGCUGAGGAGUUGGUUAAAGCUGGAACACAUGUUUUAUGUAUCAAGGACAUGGCAGGACUUUUGAAGCCUCAGGCUGCCAAAUUGCUCAUCUCAUCUUUACGUGACAAAUAUCCUGAUCUACCAAUCCAUGUUCACACACAUGAUACCUCUGGGGCAGGUGUGGCUUCCAUGCUGGAGUGUGCAUAUGCUGGUGCUGAUGCUGUUGAUGUGGCUGUUGAUUCUAUGUCUGGCAUGACCUCUCAACCUUCUAUGGGAGCUGUGGUGGCUAGUCUGAUGGGGCAUGAUCUUGAUACUGGCAUGAAUCUGAGUAAUAUUAGUGAGUAUUCAGCCUUUUGGGAACAGACCCGGACCCUUUAUGCUCCCUUCGAAUGUGCUGUAACCAUGAAGUCUGGAAAUGCUGAUGUUUACCAAAAUGAAAUUCCUGGAGGCCAGUACACCAAUCUACAAUUCCAGGCAUACUCCCUUGGACUGGGUGACCAAUUUGAAGCCAUAAAGAAAGCAUACAGGGAAGCAAACCUUCUUCUUGGAGACCUCAUAAAGGUGACACCAUCCUCUAAGGUUGUAGGGGACCUGGCUCAGUUCAUGGUACAGAACAAACUCUCAGCAGCUGAUGUUGAAGCCAAUGCUGAGAACCUUAGCUUCCCCAAGUCUGUCAUUGAAUUCAUGCAGGGUUAUCUUGGAGAACCACAUGGGGGAUUCCCAGAGCCUCUGCGCACAAAGAUGCUGAAAGGACUACCUAUUGUUGAUGGUCGGCCAGGGGCACAAAUGCCUCCUUUGGACUUUGCCAGCCUUAAAACUCAACUGACUGAAGACCACGGCCCUCGCAUCAAUGACUAUGAUACAGUCAGCUCCUCAAUGUACCCUACGGUCACAGAUGAUUUCCUUCGCUUCCGAGAAAAGUAUGGGCCAGUGGACAAACUGGACACGAGAAUCUUCCUCACUGGUCCAAAGGUUGGUGAAGAAUUUGAAGUGGAGAUUGAAAAGGGGAAGACACUACACAUCAAGACUUUGGCCAUGGCUGAAGAUCUUACUCCCAAUGGAGAAAGGGAGGUUUUCUUUGAGCUCAAUGGUCAGCUGAGAUCGGUGAUGGUUCGAGAUCAAGAAGCAGUGAAGGAGCUCCAUGUUCAUCCUAAAGUAACACCUGGAGUGAAGGGUCAGGUUGGGGCACCUAUGCCUGGCACUGUGAUAGACAUCAAAGUAAAGGUGGGAGAUGAAGUGAAGAAGGGAUCCCCACUUGUGGUGCUCUCAGCCAUGAAGAUGGAGAUGGUGGUACAGGCACCAUGUGAUGGGAAAGUCACUACAGUUGAUGUCACAAAGGACAUGAAGCUGGAAGGAGAUGACCUGGUGCUCUCAAUAGAUCCCCAGUGAGCCCUGAGCCAGUCAGACUCUGCCCUUACAGGACAGCAACUGCCUGUAGUAUCUAUUCUACACCGCUCGGGAGGUGGUUCGGUCAAGCAGUUAAGGUUGUUCAGUACACAGUAAGUGGACUGCAAGACUCCAGGACAGCACAGAAAUAUCUCAUUCAGUUCUUCAAGGCUAUAAGCACAAGUGGUGUGGUGCUGUUUUCUGCCCACCCCAGCUUCCCAGCACACAAGUGGUUCUCCACACACCAACUACUGAGGUUCAUGUGUACAUUAGAUGGGACCGCAUUCCUUAUCCUUCACCAAGCAUAGCAAAUGCAUGAAGCUGCCACGCCUCCAAGCCUUACUGAAUAUCCCAAACUUUGUUAUUUUGAACUUAGUAGCUAUUCAAUUUUUGAGUAUUUUUGUAUUAGUUUUUUUUUUUUUUUUUUUUUUUUUUUUUUUGUGCUAUGAUGAAAUAAUGCUUCCCAAUGCAAGUAUGUAUGGGACAAGCUCCUCUUGGCCUAGUCUGCCUUUUAUGAGGAGCUUGUCAUGUGUGCUUGUGAUCCAAAGUCCCUCACAUGAACAAACACUGCAGUUCUUCAGAGAGAAGUUGUAAUAGUACACUCUUUGGUUCCAUGCCAUUUCUCUUCAUGUACAGACUGCAUUAUACUUUCACUAUAUUAAAUUGUAACUCUAUAAUUAUAUAUGCAAGUGACUUAUUUUCACUAUAUUAAAUUGUAACUAUAAUUAUAUAUGCAAGUGACUUAUACUAAGUUAUAUAAAUUAUCUAAACUUGUAAAUAAAGACCAGACUGAAUUUCAUACCUUGCAUAUAUUGUUGCUAUUACCUGCAGUAAAUACAUAGUAUCAAAAUGAUCCUGCACAUUCCAUUCUUGAAAUCAGCUACUUCACAUUUUAUGCAUUAUUUACAUACUCCUGGCUGGGAUGCACAGUACAUCAAUAAUAAUUCUGAGAACUUGUACUCUUAUUCUAAAGUGUGUUAAUAUGUUGUAUCAAACAUCUUCAUCUCCAUAGAUGUUGGGGAAAUCCAUUCAAUAUAAUUUACUCCCUAGUUAUUAGAAAUUUGGACUAACAUCAUCAUGAAGAAUCAGACUUCCCUUUUAAGGAGUACAAUUCUUUUACAUCAGUACAGCUUUGGAGGAUGUGAUGGAUAAACUAAGAUAUCAGUAUUGUUGGUAGUUCAUAUUGGGACAAAUUCUCAGUUAAUAAUGUCACUCUUGGGUUCCUUAAAAAAAAACAAAAAAACAUACCUGAUUAUAUAUAUGUAGAGUUACACAUGAACAUGAGCUACAUUACAAUCUUGCAAUAAAAUCCGAUACCCCAAAUUACUGGGUUUGCUGAUUAAUAUUUAGAUAUUGAGAAUAAAAAUGUUCCAUGUUUUUAUUGUUGUAAAAGAUUUUUUUCUUAUACCUGUAUAACAAUAAAAGUUAAUAUUGUGAAAUCUGUAAAGAGAUAUUUAAAAGUAUGACACAAUAAUUAACCUAUAGAGGAAUUUAGCCUACCUGACUGUGGUGGGUUAGUCCUUUAUGUGCUGUGAUUGGUGUUUAGGAACUGCUGUGAAAAUAGUUUCCUGAUAGCUUAAAUGAAUUAUUAGUCCUAUAAUUCUGAUGUGAUCCCGAAACACGACAGCCUUAAAUGAUUCUUCCAUAAAACAUAAGGUUAGGUCUGAUUUGAGCAACACCUUCUCUGUUUAUAAAUUUUUCAUCAAUUAACAUUCCACAAUUUACAUAAUUUAUUAUAAUACACUGUCCUUUGUUAAUUUCCUGUCUUGAAUGCCAAGUUUGCAACCUUCAUUUUCUUGACCACAAUGUCUUUUCUUCCAUGACUACAUGACUGCCUUGAAUCAAAACGAUUAUGACCAUAAGAACGUUAUCCAACAAUAUCAACGUAUCAUAAACCUCAAAAUACUAUUCAUCAUGUUUCUGCUCUUGUAGGAAGGAAUAUGUAUACAACACACCUCAAAUACUUUCAGUUAUUUACAAACAAGGCAAUACAGAGCAAAGAAGUUAUUCACAAACAAGGCAAUACAGAGCAAAGAAGAUUUACCAGUGUUUCAUGGUAGAAUAUGAAAGAUAUGGUCAUAUGGAAAGCUCUCAUAACGAAAGCUGUUACAAGUGUAUGAUUUUAAAAAUUAUUUAAAUAACUUUGCAUGAUUUAUAGGAUGUCUUGAUCAGUGUUAAGAAAUAAAUCAAGGAAACACUUUAUUGUAAUUUCUUUGUUUUUUUUUUGUGACUGCUCAGUCUGCUAAAAUGAUUUUACUGUUAUUUAUCCAUGGUCUUAGGGUCACAUGCUGGAGUCAUAAUUAUCAGCUAUACCCUCCCAGAGAGAACUUAGAUAUAAUAAAUAUAGUCUGAUCUUUGGAUAAAUCUGAGACCUUUCACAUACCACACACCCCAUCUUACUUGAAGGACUAACAGCUCUCUCAUCAGUAAAAGCCUAUGUAGUGUGUGUGUGUGUGUGUGUGUGUGUGUGUGUGUGUGUGUGUGUGUGUGUGAGAAAUAAUGAACAGUAUAAGAAAAUUAUAGAAAAUCACUUAUUAGAAUACCUAUAAAGACACUGCCACUUACUAUUGAUGACUUAUAUGGUCUGUUGUAUACAUAAUACUGCAGCAAAAAUUAUUAACUAUUGAUGACUUAUAUGGUCUGUUGUAUACAUAUUAAUACUGCAGCAAAAAUUAUUAACUGACUUUUAGUCCACAUUUUAAUCAUAAAAGCAAUUAUAAAAUUAUUAUAUUACUUAGUACUUAGCUCCUGAGAAAUAUAUCAGCAGUAAUGCUGACAAAAGUACUGGUAGCAAAUGGUAUUGCUUACAAGUCCAGUUGUAAUUAGUACUAUGUCUUCCUGUAAGUAAUACCAGAUUGGGCUAGUGGACGUAGUGUUGUGGUGUGAGCGAAGCAAUAAGUUUUAAUCCGUGACAAAUCCCUUCAUAAACUUACAACUGCAUGUAGCUUUGAGUUCUAGAAGGACAGUGUCAUCAACCUUACUGUCAACUUAUGUAUAUCAGUGAUAAAUGUUGUCUUGGAAUGAUAAGCUUCAUUAACAAAUCUAUGGUCUUAC